UAUAUAAAAUAAUUUCAGAUUCAUUGGCAAAAAAAAAAUUGCCAGACUGCAAAAGUAAGUAGGCUACUUUAAAUUAAAUCCCAGGUUAUUCUUAAUUUGUUUACUUUUUAUUAACAGAGAAGGAAUUAUUCACAAAAGCAAAAAGUGGAUACCAAAAGAAAAAUGGGACGAAAGAUAUUCCAGCAGACUUUUGCAGCCCGGAUCUUCAACAGGGCCUGCCCCUUCUCAGGAGCGUGUGCCCCUUUAAAAAGGCCUGCCCCUUUGAAAAGGCCUGCCCCUUUAAAAAGGCCCGCCCCUCCACAGGAGCGUGCCCCUUUAAAAAGGCUUGCCCCUUCUCAGGAGCCACAGGCGGCUGUGGAGCUACAGGGGCUGUGGACAG